rnacentral:lncRNA from 1 species
UAAUCUGAUCCCGCCCCUCAUAGUUCCGCCCCUGGCCUGAAGCAAAUUCAACACGACGCGAAAAUGAAGUGAAACACUCGGUCGUUCUGAGAGGGCGGAGUGGUGGAGGCAGAAUCUUGCAGGAAAGAGGAAGAAGAAGCCUGAUAUAUAAAGAGCGCGGGAGAGAGUCCCCGCGCGCGCGAGAGCGCGUGAGACGCCUCACAAAAAUCCGCAGGUGGAUCAUUGGAGCUUCGUGUGUCUUCACAAUGGCAGACAGAGUUCUACUGUCGUUGGUGGCUGGUGUGUUUAUUUUGAGCAUCUCCAAUGCAGAAUCUCGAACUCCAAUCAUGGACCUGACCUUGCCAGACCCAUACACAACAGUCAACACUCAAAAUGUUUUCAGUCCACCGGUGGGAAACACAACCCAGGAUAAAAAUGCAACUUUCACUCACAGAAUGAAUGAAACCAUGGAAGGAAACAACACGACGUUGGUUAGUUGUACAGCUUGCACUAAAACGGCAGAGACAAAUGUCACAAAUGGUAACUUCUCUUCUGAGAAUUCCACCACUGAAGUAUAUGCAACUACUGCGAAUUACACUGUUACACCAACAUCCUCAAAUACUUCAAAUCCAACAGCGAUAUUUACUUCAACGAUGAGCAGUACAACACAGCAAGUCACCACAGUGAGCAUCUCGUCUUUGCCAAUGGUUGUACAUACGUCUCCCAUCACCACCACCACCACCACCACCACCACCACCACCACCGCAUCACGGACAACUACACCACAGAAAGCAAAGAUGAUCACUUCCAAACCGGGACCACCAGUUAUGACCCCAAAGGCUUCCGGCCAUGCUGCAGGUGUUGUUCUGAGCAUCGUGCUGGCAUUCACGUUUGCAGUUUUGCUUGUAAUCAUCAUCCGCCGACGACUCAACAUCCGCAGACAAUUCCAACAUCAGCGGUUGGAAGAUAUGGAGGAAGGUAUGGAUUUUUUUCUUGUAGCAUUCAGCGUUGUUCUGGAUUAUGAGCGUUUAACCGUUGAUUCACCAACGUACGCCAUCUUCAGGUUGAAGUGUGGUACAUUGAUGGGGUGAAAUGUCAAAUGGACUCAAUAAAAUAACCGGAAUGCAGCAUUUCUAAAUGUCAAACGAUAUCUAGUUUGCAGUUGGGCACAAACCAAAGAUUCUUCAGCUUGGGUGAACACAGGCCACAGGGAAUGUGAUCUUCCUGAAAGUGCUAAUUCAUCCUCGAAUGCUUUUCCCUUGCCUUGCAGAUCUGUAGCUGGAGUGGAGAACACAGAUGCAAUGAGUGGGCAGGUGCCCAUCAUUUUGGCUGCUUUAUGCUCCCAAGUUUGUUUCUUGCACAUUUAUAUAGGCUUUCAAUUUCCUUAUGAUCUGCACUCUUUUUACCAUUGGGGUUCAUUCCAAAACUCCUUCAUUCGGCUGUGCUUUAUACUGCUUUGCAAGAAAAUCUGUCGAUGAAGGUGCUUCAUGUGAUUUGUUAUUUAACCGAAUGCACUGUCUUCACCAGCCUUUGCACUGUAUCCUGUGGCCUGUGGCUAGUUGCUAUUGUAAUUAGACUUUUCAUUGUUAUCGUUUUUAAUUUACAUCCUCACCUCAGGGGUUAGUUUUAUGGAAAGAAAGAGGCUUAUAAAUAAAACUUGGAAAAUUGUUGUCGGUGGUUUUGUCCACUUUUUGAGGAUGCAAAGGUAAACAAAGUUAAAAUAUAACCAUGAGCAUACUUAAUAUUGAUUGUUAACAAUAUUGUUUUAGCUUUUUUAUCUAUUUAUUUUUCCACACUUUUCUGUUGAAUUGAGUUGAGUAGCAAGUGCAUUGGCAUUUUGAUAAAUGAAACAAGUGAUCCCAAGUUUAUAUAGAUGACAAGAUGAGUGACCCAAUCAAACCUUGGUUUCUUAGACUUCAGUAAAGCAUCGAGAAGAUUGUUGUUAGCUUGGAUUAAAUUAUAAAUAAGCAAUGUCAUAAAUACAAGAACAUGGUGGAAAGGAGGGGAGCACACCGGGUAGAGUGAUACAACAGAGGGAACUUGGUGCAAGAAUGGGUGAUGGGGAGAAAUAUCCGGGGGGGGAAGGGACGUCUGAGCCCAGAAAUCAUACACGUAUAACAAAAAUUAACUCAGGAGUGCAACAUUGCAAUGAUGGGCCAAAUGUCCUAAUUUUUUGUUUAAAUUUGUACAGGAUUGUGUGACCACGAGUUAGACUCUGUCGUCCAAUGGAGACAGAGUGAGGACCCUUUGUAUGGAGGCUCUUCAUAUAAUAAUUUCCUUCUGCAUGUAGAAAAUAUAUUUGAAUGCAAUAGGUUUGAUUUCUGAUCAAGAAGAUUGAUGUUUAGAGGUGUAGCAAAAAUUAACUCUGGACGGCAACAUGGGAGGAUCAAACAAACCAGCUGCGGUAUCUUGGUUACUGAUGCUGGCCUGCCACUGAUGCCCUAGCUCUGGUUGUGCACUGUACGCUUGUGCUCAAAAUGUUUCACAAUAAAUUGAAUGGUGCAAUCUGUGGGUCCAUCACGUGUUCUGAGAUGGUAUUCCGGCAGAACCUCCAGCCGGUGUCUACAUAUGAUUUAGUCUCAUACCACAGAGCCACCACUUCUGUCUUCUGCUUCACUGUCAAUGGCAUAGAUGAGCUAUGGAGCUAGAAAUCCCAGGGAACAAAUCCCAUGACAACACCACCAAACCUUGAAAAGAAAAACGGUAUAGGUGAAAAAACAAAAAAGUGGUAGGAAGUAAAAUCAUUUGCAGAGGAAUUCA